AGAGAUGAAGAACUCUAUAGAUAGCCUAGCAAAGGGGGCAAUCUACUAAACCAUAUGAAUCCCUAAUGAGAAACCCUAUUCCCAACAAGCAGACUACUCACACAUAUUGGAUGAAGCAAACAAUAUAUUUGAGUGUGAAAGCAUAAACACAGUAAAUAGAGAAGGGGAAAGAAGGGAUCUCUUCACUGUAUAUAGAUCUGAAUGAAACUCUGAGAAAACAAUCGAUGAAUAGCUUAUGUCUCUUAGUAAUAGGGUUUGUAGAAAACUUGAUAAAAGACUUGAUAAAAGAAACUUAGGUUUAAAAACAAUAUAUAUAUAGACCCUAAAAACGUCCAGGGACAAAUAAUGCAAAUAGGGAAAUCUUCUGGGGCAAAUUUGAUCUUCUGUAAACUCGAAAGCGUCUAGGGUUUUUGCUGGGCCGAAACUGGUGUCGAUUGACACCAAGAGUGUGUCGAUCGAUACUCCUCGCUGAUUCCUGAACCAAAAUCGUCCUUCGCUUUCUUUUCCUUAGCCUUUGCUCCAAAAUAUCUCCUUAUCUCCAUUGUUGUCACAUUGCAUAGAAUACCUGAAAAGACACUAAAAAGACUCGAGAAAUAACAUAAAGACUCAAAAUCCUAUACCUAAAACAUAGAUAAAAUCAGUAAAAAUUGGGAUAUAUCACAAGCCCACUUUGCCUCUUCCUGAAAGAAAAACUGACAAAGGUGGUCACGGUGAAAUUUUCUUUUAAAUUAAAAGCAGACAUUCCAACUCUGUAGAUGUAGUGUUUAAGUUAUACUAGGAAGAUAAACUUAUACUUUCUUUUGUAGUAGAAACUUUGGCCACAUGUGUUAUCAAGGUCUCUUAGGUCGUCGAAGGUUGUUGGUUUUAUCUGUUGAAGUGAUAAUACAUAUCUUCUCUUUCUUAAUAUAAUUGUUAAUAGCAUU
rnacentral:sRNA from 1 species